rnacentral:rRNA from 1 species
CCAUGAGCAAGAUGUGCCAGGAUGGCCUUCUGGGCCGUAAACACACUAUUUCUCAGGGAAGAAGCUCUGACGGUACCUGAGGAAUCAGCCUCGGCUAACUCCGUGCCAGCAGCCGCGGUAAUACGGAGGAGGCAAGCGUUAUCCGGAAUUAUUGGGCGUAAAGCGUCCGCAGGUGGCUCAUCAAGUCUGCUGUCAAAGCCCGAAGCUCAACUUCGGAGAGGCAGUGGAAACUGGAGAGCUAGAGAACGGUAGGGGUAGAGGGAAUUCCCAGUGUAGCGGUGAAAUGCGUAGAGAUUGGGAAGAACACCGGUGGCGAAAGCGCUCUACUGGGCCGUAUCUGACACUCAGGGACGAAAGCUAGGGUAGCGAAUGGGAUUAGAUACCC